rnacentral:rRNA from 1 species
AGGUAAGCUACUAAGAGCGAAUGGUGGAUGCCUUGACUGGUAAAGGCGAUGAAGGACGUACUAGACUGCGAUAAGCUACGGGGAGCUGUCAAGAAGCUUUGAUCCGUAGAUUUCCGAAUGGGGCAACCCAAUGUAUAGAGAUAUACAUUACCUAUAUAGGAGCGAACGAGGGGAAUUGAAACAUCUUAGUACCCUCAGGAAAAGAAAUCAAUAGAGAUUGCGUCAGUAGCGGCGAGCGAAAGCGCAAGAGGGCAAACCCAGUGCUUGCACUGGGGGUUGUAGGACUGCAAUGUGCAAGAGGUAAGUUUAGCAGAACAUUCUGGAAAGUAUAACCAUAGAGGGUGAUAGUCCCGUAUGCGAAAAACAAACCUUAGCUAGCAGUAUCCUGAGUAGGGCGGGACACGAGGAAUCCUGUCUGAAUCCGGGUCGACCACGAUCCAACCCUAAAUACUAAUACCAGAUCGAUAGUGCACAAGUACCGUGAGGGAAAGGUGAAAAGAACUGAGGUGAUCAGAGUGAAAUAGAACCUGAAACCAUUUGCUUACAAUCAUUCAGAGCCCUAUGUAGCAAUACAGGGUGAUGGACUGCCUUUUGCAUAAUGAGCCUGCGAGUUGUGGUGUCUGGCAAGGUUAAGCAAACGCGAAGCCGUAGCGAAAGCGAGUCUGAAUAGGGCGCUUAGUCAGAUGCUGCAGACCCGAAACGAAGUGAUCUAUCCAUGAGCAAGUUGAAGCUAGUGUAAGAACUAGUGGAGGACUGAACCCAUAGGCGUUGAAAAGCCCCGGGAUGACUUGUGGAUAGGGGUGAAAGGCCAAUCAAACUUCGUGAUAGCUGGUUCUCUCCGAAAUAUAUUUAGGUAUAGCGUUGUGUCGUAAUAUAAGGGGGUAGAGCACUGAAUGGGCUAGGGCAUACACCAAUGUACCAAACCCUAUCAAACUCCGAAUACCUUAUAUGUAAUCACAGCAGUCAGGCGGCGAGUGAUAAAAUCCGUCGUCAAGAGGGAAACAACCCAGACUACCAGCUAAGGUCCCUAAAUCUUACUUAAGUGGAAAACGAUGUGAAGUUACUUAAACAACCAGGAGGUUGGCUUAGAAGCAGCCAUCCUUUAAAGAAAGCGUAAUAGCUCACUGGUCUAGUGAUUUUGCGCGGAAAAUAUAACGGGGCUAAAGUAAGUACCGAAGCUGUAGACUUAGUUUACUAAGUGGUAGGAGAGCGUUCUAUUUGCGUCGAAGGUAUACCGGUAAGGAGUGCUGGAGCGAAUAGAAGUGAGCAUGCAGGCAUGAGUAGCGAUAAUUAAUGUGAGAAUCAUUAACGCCGUAAACCCAAGGUUUCCUACGCGAUGCUCGUCAUCGUAGGGUUAGUCGGGUCCUAAGUCGAGUCCGAAAGGGGUAGACGAUGGCAAAUUGGUUAAUAUUCCAAUACCAACAUUAGUGUGCGAUGGAAGGACGCUUAGGGCUAAGGGGGCUAGCGGAUGGAAGUGCUAGUCUAAGGUCGUAGGAGGUUGUACAGGCAAAUCCGUAUAACAAUACUCCGAGAACUGAAAGGCUUUUUGAAGUC